UACAGAGGUCCCAAGCGUUGUUCGGAUUCACUGGGCGUAAAGGGUGCGUAGGCGGUCGGGUAAGUCUGAUGUGAAAUCUCACAGCUUAACUGUGAAACUGCAUUGGAUACUAUUCGGCUUGAGAGUUGGAGGGGGGACUGGAAUUCUUGGUGUAGCAGUGAAAUGCGUAGAUAUCAGGAGGAACACCGGUGGCGAAGGCGGGUCUCUGGGCCGAUACUGACGCUGAGGAGCGAAAGCGUGGGGAGCAAACAGG
rnacentral:rRNA from 1 species